rnacentral:rRNA from 1 species
AGAGUUUGAUCAUGGCUCAGAUUGAACGCUGGCGGCAUGCCUUACACAUGCAAGUCGAACGGCAGCGGGGACUUCGGUCCGCCGGCGAGUGGCGAACGGGUGAGUAAAGCAUCGGAACGUGCCCUGAAGUGGGGGAUAACGUAGCGAAAGUUACGCUAAUACCGCAUAUUCUGUGAGCAGGAGAGCGGGGGAUCUUCGGACCUCGCGCUUUAGGAGCGGCCGAUGUCGGAUUAGCUAGUUGGUGAGGUAAAGGCUCACCAAGGCGACGAUCCGUAGCGGGUCUGAGAGGAUGAUCCGCCACACCGGGACUGAGACACGGCCCAGACUCCUACGGGAGGCAGCAGUGGGGAAUUUUGGACAAUGGGCGCAAGCCUGAUCCAGCCAUGCCGCGUGAGUGAAGAAGGCCUUCGGGUUGUAGAGCUCUUUCGGCGGGGAAGAAAUGGCGCUUUUUAAUACAGAGCGUUGAUGACGGUACCCGCAUAAGAAGCACCGGCUAACUACGUGCCAGCAGCCGCGGUAAUACGUAGGGUGCGAGCGUUAAUCGGAAUUACUGGGCGUAAAGCGUGCGCAGGCGGUUGUGUAAGUCAGAUGUGAAAUCCCCGGGCUCAACCUGGGAACUGCAUUUGAGACUGCACGGCUAGAGUGUAGCAGAGGGGGGUAGAAUUCCACGUGUAGCAGUGAAAUGCGUAGAGAUGUGGAGGAAUACCGAUGGCGAAGGCAGCCCCCUGGGUUACUACUGACGCUCAUGCACGAAAGCGU